GAUGAACGCUGGCGGCGUGCUUAACAUAUGCAAGUCGAACGGAAAGGCCCAAGCUUGCUUGGGUACUCGAGUGGCGAACGGGUGCGUAACACGUGGGUGAUCUGCCCUGCACUUCGGGAUAAGCCUGGGAAACUGGGUCUAAUACCGGAUAGGACCACAUUUUGGAUGGUGUGGUGUAAAGUUUUUCGGUGUGGGAUGAGCUCGCGGCCUAUCAGCUUGUUGGUGGGGUAAUGGCCUACCAAGGCGUCGGCGGGUAGCCGGCCUGAGAGGGUGUACGGCCACAUUGGGACUGAGAUACGGCCCAGACUCCUACGGGAGGCAGCAGUGGGGAAUAUUGCACAAUGGGCGCAAGCCUGAUGCAGCGACGCCGCGUGGGGGAUGACGGCCUUCGGGUUGUAAACUCCUUUCGCUAGGGACGAAGCGUUAUGUGACGGUACCUGGAGAAGAAGCACCGGCUAACUACGUG
rnacentral:rRNA from 1 species